CUGGAGCAAAAUCAACACCCGACAACGAUAUUCGUCCUCGGGUGCAUUAUCG
rnacentral:sRNA from 1 species